rnacentral:rRNA from 1 species
GGACGAACGCUGGCGGCGUGCCUAAUACAUGCAAGUAGAACGCACAGUUUAUACCGUAGCUUGCUACACCAUCGACUGUGAGUUGCGAACGGGUGAGUAACGCGUAGGUAACCUGCCUGGUAGCGGGGGAUAACUAUUGGAAACGAUAGCUAAUACCGCAUAAUAUUAAUUAUUGCAUGAUAAUUAAUUGAAAGGUGCAAUUGCACCACUACCAGAUGGACCUGCGUUGUAUUAGCUAGUAGGUGAGGUAACGGCUCACCUAGGCGACGAUACAUAGCCGACCUGAGAGGGUGAUCGGCCACCCUGGGACUGAGACACGGCCCAGACUCCUACGGGAGGCAGCAGUAGGGAAUCUUCGGCAAUGGACGAAAGUCUGACCGAGCAACGCCGCGUGAGUGAAGAAGGUUUUCGGAUCGUAAAGCUCUGUUGUAAGAGAAGAACGGGUGUGAGAGUGGAAAGUUCACACUGUGACGGUAUCUUACCAGAAAGGGACGGCUAACUACGUG